CAGUAGCCACGGGAAUACGAAGGGUGCAAGCGUUAAUCGGAAUUACUGGGCGUAAAGCGUGCGUAGGCGGUUUGUUAAGUCUGCUGUGAAAUCCCCGGGCUCAACCUGGGAAUGGCAGUGGAUACUGGCAAGCUAGAGUGUGUCAGAGGAUGGUGGAAUUCCCGGUAUAGCGGUGAAAUGCGUAGAGAUCGGGAGGAACAUCAGUGGCGAAGGCGGCCAUCUGGGACAACACUGACGCUGAGGCACGAAAGCGUGGGGAGCAAACAGGAUUAGAUACCCCAGUAGUCCCUGUCUCUUAUAC
rnacentral:rRNA from 1 species